ACUCCAUGAAGCUGGAUUCGCUAGUAAUCGCGCAUCAGCCACGGCGCGGUGAAUACGUUCCCGGGCCUUGUACACACCGCCCGUCAAGCCAUGGGAGCCGGGGGUACCUGAAGUGCGUGACCGCAAGGAGCGCCCUAAGGUAAAACCGGUGACUGGGGCUAAGUCGUAACAAGGUACC
rnacentral:rRNA from 1 species